rnacentral:rRNA from 1 species
GAGUUUGAUCUUGGCUCAGGAUGAACGCUAGCGGCAGGCUUAAUACAUGCAAGUCGAGGGGCAGCAUGGUGUAGCAAUACACUGAUGGCGACCGGCAAACGGGUGCGGAACACGUACACAACCUUCCUUCGAGCGGGGAAUAGCCCAGAGAAAUUUGGAUUAAUACCCCAUAGUAUAUUGGAGAGGCAUCUCUUUAAUAUUAAAGAUUUAUCACUUGAAGAUGGGUGUGCGGCUGAUUAGGUAGUUGGCGGGGUAACGGCCCACCAAGCCUGCGAUCAGUAACUGGUGUGAGAGCACGACCAGUCACACGGGCACUGAGACACGGGCCCGACUCCUACGGGAGGCAGCAGUAAGGAAUAUUGGUCAAUGGACGCAAGUCUGAACCAGCCAUGCCGCGUGGAGGAUGAAGGUCCUCUGGAUUGUAAACUUCUUUUAUCUGGGACGAAAAAGGCUUUUCUAAGUCGUCUGACGGUACCAGAUGAAUAAGCACCGGCUAACUCCGUGCCAGCCGCC